rnacentral:tRNA from 1 species
GUUUAAAUAGUUUAAUAAAAACUUUGGUCUUGUAAAUCAACAAUAAGAUAAUCUUUUUAAACU